CUACGGAGGAUCCGAGCGUUAUCCGGAUUUAUUGGGUUUAAAGGGAGCGUAGGUGGAUUGUUAAGUCAGUUGUGAAAGUUUGCGGCUCAACCGUAAAAUUGCAGUUGAAACUGGCAGUCUUGAGUACAGUAGAGGUGGGCGGAAUUCGUGGUGUAGCGGUGAAAUGCUUAGAUAUCACGAAGAACUCCGAUUGCGAAGGCAGCUCACUAGACUGUUACUGACACUGAUGCUCGAAAGUGUGGGUAUCAAACAGGAUUAGAUACCCUGGUAGUCCACACAGUAAACGAUGAAUACUCGCUGUUUGCGAUAUACAGUAAGCGGCCAAGCGAAAGCAUUAAGUAUUCCACCUGGGGAGUACGCCGGCAACGGUGAAACUCAAAUGAAUUGACGGGG
rnacentral:rRNA from 1 species